AUUGAACGCUGGCGGCAGGCCUAACACAUGCAAGUCGAGCGGAUGAAGGGAGCUUGCUCCUGGAUUCAGCGGCGGACGGGUGAGUAAUGCCUAGGAAUCUGCCUGGUAGUGGGGGAUAACGUCCGGAAACGGGCGCUAAUACCGCAUACGUCCUGAGGGAGAAAGUGGGGGAUCUUCGGACCUCACGCUAUCAGAUGAGCCUAGGUCGGAUUAGCUAGUUGGUGGGGUAAAGGCCUACCAAGGCGACGAUCCGUAACUGGUCUGAGAGGAUGAUCAGUCAAACCGGAACUGAGACACGGUCCAGACUCCUACGGGAGGCAGCAGUGGGGAAUAUUGGACAAUGGGCGAAAGCCUGAUCCAGCCAUGCCGCGUGUGUGAAGAAGGUCUUCGGAUUGUAAAGCACUUUAAGUUGGGAGGAAGGGCAGUAAGUUAAUACCUUGCUGUUUUGACGUUACCAACAGAAUAAGCACCGGCUAACUUCGUG
rnacentral:rRNA from 1 species